rnacentral:lncRNA from 1 species
UUUGAGUUCAAAAAAAAUCUACUAUAUUUUGAAGGAUACCAAUAUAUUCCAGAAGAAAAAUAUGUAUAUGUAUUCUUUAAGCACGUUGUCAUAUUACAUGAAGUCUUACUUGAAAAUACAUUGGGCACUUAGCUAUAAAAGGUAGAAGAAAAAUUACAACAACAAGUUCCUUACAACUCUAAUAGAAUCUUAAAUAAAUUUUAAUAAAAUCUUAAUAAUAUUAAUCAAGAUUUCAUCAAAUAUAAUAUAAAACUUAAAGAAAUUAAAAAAGAAACAUGAAGAAAUCCUAAAGAAUUUCUAAAGAAAUUGUAAAAAAAUCAUAAAGAAAUAACAAGGAAAUCCUAAAAAAAUCCACAAAAAAUCCUAAAGAAAUAUUUGAGAAAUCUUAAAUAAAUUUUAAAUAAAUUAUAAUUAAAUAUUAUUUUAAUAUUAAUUUAAUUUAAAUAGACUUUAAUUAAAUCUUAUAUCAAAUACAAACUAAAUUUUAGGUCAAAUCCUAACUAAACCCUAAACCAAAUCCUAGACAAAUCCUAAAUCCUAAACCAAAUCUUAAACAAAUUAAUCUAAUCCUAGGACAUUUUAGAACCUCAAUAUCUAUAGAUUAUAUUAUUGAUCUUACUUAAGAUAUUACACACCCC